UCUGCCCCACCUCUUGGGCUGGAUGGGAAGGACCCCUCUAUCCAAAGCCCACUCAAUUCCAUACUCAACAUCCCAAGUCUGGGUCUUUGAACAGGAUUCCACAAGGGCCCGGUGUGGGUAACAAGCUGAGGGCUGUUCUCUGAUCUGCCCUCCUCCACACUCCCUACCCGGCCUGAUGGAAUGGCACUGAACUGCCUCAGGAGCUGGGACAGGGGAUGGGGUGUGGCUGCUAAUGUCACUGCCUCCCACUAAGUCCCAUCCCACCUGGGCCCACAGAGCUCCUGCUGUGGUUAGCACCUCCGCCAUCAUUACAACUCUACUGUGACUGCCCCUGUCACACAGCCACCCUACCCAUCACCAGCACCACCAACACCCCCACCCCACCGGGACCAUCACCACCAUUGAGACUCUCGCCAUCUCCAUGAAGAGCACCCCAGCUCACACCUGAAGAUGGGACAGGACUGGGGGAGCUGAGAAGGUGCAUUUGCAUCUGUUGCCUGAUUCUGGAGGCUUGGAAGCCUGAGGAAAAGCCUUCAGCAUGGGGGGCGAUGGCUUACAGCUGCUCGGAUUCUCCUGGCUGCUGUCCUGGUGGUCUCGGCUUCUGCCCUGCCCCUUCUUCCUGCUCACAGAGGCCUGAACGGUCUCCCUUGGCCUCUGGCACAUCUGCUUUGCGAGGCAGCAGAGAGAAGAUAAUCCUGUCAUUGAAACCCUUGGUGUCAUUCCUUCUCGGAGCCUCUCCCUCAGCUGAGAGGGCAGGGGGCACUCCUGGCAUAAGAACCUCCGGGGACCAGGAAGCUCCUCUAGCCUUGCCCCAGGCUUUGGGUCCCCACUCAGACCAGCCUGCCCAUUUGGGAACUGCUGGGGCCUCAGGCAGGGCCACACCAAGACCAGUUGUAUCAUCAGUGGCCAAGCCUGCAGCCCACAGGGUCCCCAAGUCCCAGCCAGCGUCCGAUGUGUCUGGACCUGCAGAGAAGAUCUUGGUCCCUGGCUCUCCAGAGAUUGCUGCCACAGCACUGUAGCAGGCUUCUCCUGGCCCAAGGCAUCUUGGGGUUGGGCCAAAGUCCAGUGAGCUUCCUGGCUUGUCCGUGACAGUCUGUGCUCCUACCCCUGCAAUCCUGAGGAUAUCUGUUACCUCUGGGCCAACCCGGCAGCCAGCUGCACCCACAUCUGGAUCCCUCAACUGCUGGCCUGGCCCAUGGGCAGGCCCACCUCCAGCCCCAAGGCCUGUAAGCCAUCUACAUCAGCAGCAAGCACCGUCAGGCCUGGGGCUUCCACACUUCUAUCUCCAAGGGCCCCAGAGAAGGCUGUGUCCUCAGCACCCCAGGGCCCACUUGUGUCUACAUUGAUGGAUAACACGUUAGCUGCCACAGAGCCUCCUCUCUCUGUAGCUCCAGGGUGGUCAGGCUGGACACGGACUCUCAAGCCCUCACAGUGGCCUCAGGGUCACCCAGAAAUAGUCUCAUGUCCAGUCUGGGCCCAGGGCCCUGUGGUCCUUUAAUGUUGCCAUUGCCUUCUACAGCACCCUCUUCACAGUCAUCAUCUCUGUCACUGCCACUAUUGUCCCCGCUCUCAUCCCCAUCACCCGCACUUCUGUGUUUGUCACCAAUACCUUCCUCACCACCACCAUUUCAGUCAACAUCACCAGUCCUGGCCCCAAUUUCCUCCUUCAUCCCCAGAGCCAAAACCUCUCCGGACCCUUCUGUGUCUGUGCUCCCCACCACAGGCACAGGCCUUCUCAUCAACGCUUCCAGCCUCCAA